rnacentral:lncRNA from 13 species
ACAUUGACUCUGUACCGUAACACCCUGUAUAUAGCCUCCACAUUGACUCUGUACCGUAACACCCUGUAUAUAGCCUCCACAUUGACUCUGUACCGUAAUACCCUGUAUAUAACCUCCACAUUGACUCUGUACCGUAACACCCUGUAUAUAGUCUCCACAUUGACUCAGUACCGUAACACCCUGUAUAUAGACUCCACAUUGACUCUGUACAGGUACCCCCUGUAUAUAGCCGCCACAUUGACUCUGUACCGUAACACCCUGUAUAUAGCCUCCACGUUGACUCUGUACCGUAAUACCCUGUAUAUAGCCUCCACAUUGACUCUGUACCGUAAUACCCUGUAUAUAACCUCCACAUNNNNNNNNNNUGCUACAAUGGCUUCAUCUGCCAGACGGAGAGAGGCCGUAUGUUUACGCCAUGCACUCCGAGCAGCCGGACACGUUUGGCCACAAGCUGGGGCCCAUGAGCACUGAGGUGAGCUGGAGGCUGGGGGCU